rnacentral:rRNA from 1 species
UAGGGAAUCUUCGGCAAUGGGGGCAACCCUGACCGAGCAACGCCGCGUGAGUGAAGAAGGUUUUCGGAUCGUAAAACUCUGUUGUAAGUCAAGAACGAGUGUGAGAGUGGAAAGUUCACACUGUGACGGUAGCUUACCAGAAAGGGACGGCUAACUACGUGCCAGCAGCCGCGGUAAUACGUAGGUCCCGAGCGUUGUCCGGAUUUAUUGGGCGUAAAGCGAGCGCAGGCGGUUUGAUAAGUCUGAAGUUAAAGGCUGUGGCUCAACCAUAGUUCGCUUUGGAAACUGUCAAACUUGAGUGCAGAAGGGGAGAGUGGAAUUCCAUGUGUAGCGGUGAAAUGCGUAGAUAUAUGGAGGAACACCGGUGGCGAAAGCGGCUCUCUGGUCUGUAACUGACGCUGAGGCUCGAAAGCGUGGGGAGCGAACAGGAUUAGAUACCCUGGUAGUCCACGCCGUAAACGAUGAGUGCUAGGUGUUGGAUCCUUUCCGGGAUUCAGUGCCGCAGCUAACGCAUUAAGCACUCCGCCUGGGGAGUACGACCGCAAGGUUGA